rnacentral:rRNA from 1 species
AUAAUCGUUGGAAACGACGACUAAUACCGCAUACGGUUCUUGGAAGGCAUCUUCUAAGAAAGAAAGGAUUUAUUCGGUAAAAGAUGGGCCCGCAUCUGAUUAGCUAGUUGGUGAGAUGAUAGCCCACCAAGGCAACGAUCAGUAGCCGACCUGAGAGGGUGACCGGCCACAUUGGGACUGAGACACGGCCCAAACUCCUACGGGAGGCAGCAGUGGGGAAUAUUGCACAAUGGGCGAAAGCCUGAUGCAGCAACGCCGCGUGAAGGAAGACGGUUUUCGGAUUGUAAACUUCUAUCAAUAGGGAAGAAAGAAAUGACGGUACCUAAAUAAGAAGCCCCGGCUAACUACGUGCCAGCAGCCGCGGUAAUACGUAGGGGGCAAGCGUUAUCCGGAAUUACUGGGUGUAAAGGGAGAGUAGGCGGCAAGGUAAGCGAUAUGUGAAAGCCUUAAGCUUAACUAAAGGAUUGCAUAACGAACUAUCUAGCUAGAGUACAGGAGAGGAAAGCGGAAUUCCUAGUGUAGCGGUGAAAUGCGUAGAUAUUAGGAAGAACACCAGUGGCGAAGGCGGCUUUCUGGACUGAAACUGACGCUGAGGCUCGAAAGCGUGGGGAGCGAACAGGAUUAGAUACCCUGGUAGUCCACGCUGUAAACGAUGAGUGCUAGGUGUCGGGGAGGAAUUCCCGGUG